rnacentral:rRNA from 1 species
UGGGGAAUCUUCCGCAAUGGGCGAAAGCCUGACGGAGCAACGCCGCGUGAGUGAAGACGGCCUUCGGGUUGUAAAGCUCUGUUAUAUGGGACGAACGGGUGUAUGGUCAAUACCCAUACGCCGUGACGGUACCGUAAGAGAAAGCCACGGCUAACUACGUGCCAGCAGCCGCGGUAAUACGUAGGUGGCAAGCGUUGUCCGGAAUCAUUGGGCGUAAAGGGCGCGCAGGCGGUUCGGUAAGUCGGUCUUAAAAGUGCGGGGCUUAACCCCGUGAUGGGAUUGAAACUGCCGGACUGGAGUGUCGGAGAGGAAAGCAGAAUUCCUAGUGUAGCGGUGAAAUGCGUAGAUAUUAGGAGGAAUACCAGUGGCGAAAGCGGCUUUCUGGACGACAACUGACGCUGAGGCGCGAAAGCCAGGGGAGCAAACGGGAUUAGAUACCCCGGUAGUCCUGGCCGUAAACGAUGGAUACUAGGUGUAGGAGGUAUCGACCCCUUCUGUGCCGGAGUUAACGCAAUAAGUAUCCCGCCUGGGGAGUACGGCCGCAAGGUUGAAAC